GGGCCCGUACACAGACGCCGAACGAACAGCACCUCCUCUGUUCGCCCAAGGCUCAACAACAACGGAUACAUGUAUAAAGAAAUUAAACAAUUCCCAGGAUCACAUUUCAAUAUACAUGGCUUGCACGAAGACAAGCAACAACACAAGUGAUAGUAAGUCUAACUAAACAUGAAAUCCACUGUAAUUUAAAACUUUACAUAACUGAAAUAUUUAGUUAUUACAUGCUUUAUAUACAUUCAUUUACAUGUCUCUGUACAUCGAAAUAGAUGAUACAUGAACCCAAAAUGGUAUACCACUAGUACUCGGGUGUCCACUAGCUAGGCUGCUGGCUCUUGCCUCGAUCCUCGGCCACAAUACUCGCACUGGAACCUGUAUGGUUAGUGGUGUGAGAACUACAAGAAAGUUCCCAGUGGGUUCGGCCGCCGACCUCGCCGACUCACCCACUAGAUCUACUCAGGCAUAUGUAGACAAGAAAAGUAAACAGAUAGUAACCAACUAUAACAUGUAACUACUACAAUGCCUGCACAAAGCUGAAAGGAAGCAAUAUAGGAAAACUGUAAUUAUGCAUGUAUGCUUUUCACUAACUUUACCCAAUCUUUUGGUUAACCCUCUGGUUAACAGCUGGACAAGUACGUUAGUCCUGGGGCAAGUACGUUAGCCCAUAAAUUUACCCAAUUCAGUGGUUAACCCUUUGGUUAACAAUAACUCACCAUCGAAAUCCCUCACGGGCCCUAAGCUGCCUCCCGAUGGGACCGUCUGUCGGACAAGUACGUUAGUCCUGGGGCAAGUACGUUAGCCCAACAAGUGACUACUCCGGAGCUCACUGCCUGGGGGGAGCGACCACCACCAAGCUAAGAAAACAGACUAUGUGAGUAAGAUCUGAUUCCCCUUUAGAGGAUUCAACUGACAACAAUGUCACAAUUUAACUCUAACUAGUUCUUUAUACUAGUUUCAUAAUUGCAUUUCUCGAUGCUAACCAAAUCUCUAGUCAUGAUGUCACCAAGUUUACUAUUGUCUUGGUCCUUUACAGUUUCAUACAUUCAUAGGGUUCUAUGUCCACAUGCUAAUGUUCAUAUGUUCUUACUAUCAAUAAGAAUUCACACGUUCAAUAUCACUUACAUAAUGCCAAUGCCCAUACCCUAUAAUGUAUGAAUUCAGAAGUAAAUAUGCUCAAUGAAUAGCAUAGACAUAAAAGGUGAUUCAAAGACUUCGGAUAGCACCACCCACCUGUAGUGGUGUCCACAACUAGGAUCUCACGUCUCGGAAAGCGUCGACGACUAUCUCUCGCGACUCCGUGCAAAUAGGACUAGAGCGGUCUUCACCGUAAUUAGCGCGUCGCCGACCUGUCGGAAAGUCAAUUUAGACUUUCGAGCAUGUUCAAUUAUCAUUUACAUAAGACUAGGAGAGAUUAAACUAGAGUCAUCGCUCAUAUUUUACAAGUUAGCAUUUCAAUGCUACAGAAAGCGGCAACUAUAGCCGAAAACCUUCUUUUGGCGAUAUCUUUGCGUAGGUUCGUCGGAUUGCCGAACCGACUUCGCCAACGCGUUUCUUUUACCCUGAAUUUGGUUUAUACGCGGUCAAUUUCACUUUAGGAUUCUUAUUUUGCAAAAGUGCAUUGCCGGGGUCAGUUUUCUCAAAAAUACUAUUUCAAUGCAAUUUCACAAUUCAAUAGAGUAAUUCAACUCUUUAUUAGCCCAAGGUCCUCAAAUCAGUUAGUAAAAACUGUCUAAAUACUUCGAUUCAUCUUUCACUCUAUUUCAUUAUCUUUCUUUCUUGCUUUCUUUUCUUUUCUUUCCUUUCUUUUCUUUCCUUUCCUUUCUUUUCUUUCCUUUCCUUUCUUUUCUUUCUUUUCUUGCUUGCUGCCCCUGCAGGGCAGCAGCUGCUGCUGCCACUGCUGCUGCGCAUGCUGCUGCUGUUGCUGCUCCUCAGCUGCUACUCUAGCAGCUGCUGCUGCUGAUGCCACUGCUGCUGGCUGCUGCUGCUGAAGCUGCUGCUCAGCAGCUCCUGCUGAGCUGCUGCUGCUGCUGACUGCUGGCUGCUACAGCUGCUGCUGAUGCUAUUGCUGCUGCUACUCCAGCAGCUGCUGCUGCUGUCCACUGCUGCUGCUGCUAGCUGCUGAAGCUGCUGCUGCUGCUGAAGCUGCUGCUGCUGAAGCUACUGUUGCUGAAGCUGCUGGCAGCAGCUGGCUAAGCUGCUGCUGCUGCAGCAGGUUGCUUGUGCUGCUGCUGCUGCUGCUGAGCAAGCUGCUGCUGCUCGCUGCUAAGGCUGACAGCAGGGAGAAGGGAAGAAACAAAGCAAGGAGAGAGAGAGGAAAUAAAAUUCUCACCUUUCUUUUUCUUCUUCUUCUUCUUCUUCUUCUCUUUUCUCUUCUUUUCUUUUCUCUUCUCUCUCUACGUAUGGGCUGCAGAAGGGGGAUAAGGAUGGAGCUCCCCUGUUGGCAGGUUUAGUGGAAUUCCACUAAGCCAUCGCUAAUUACCAUUUUGCCCCUCGACUAAUCCGUUUAUCCGCGCGGAUCAAAUACCUUUCGCAGGCCCUUCCGAAAGUCCGAUUGAGCUCAAAUUUGGCAGGAAUGUUCGUUUUUACUUGACAAGUCCACUGAAAUUUUAACAUUUCAGUUUCGACCCCGUUUGGUCACUGCGAACUGUCCCGAACUGUAAUCUUUAUCCGAUAACUUUCAGAUGCUAUUUCUCUCUCUACAGGUGUUAGAAAAAUAUGAAACUUCAAAUCUAGCCUCAUAAUAAUGUUCCUGACAUCUCUGCGAAUUUUCAUAAUUUUCUGACGCUGUGCAUUUUCUGCUAAUUUUCUCAGUCCCAUUCUUUACAGAAAAUUUCAAAUCUUCUGUUUUCGCUCCGAUUUCACCCAAACACUUCCAAAAUACACCAAGGGACCUUCCCAAGCUACCAAUUUAAUUUGGAAAUAAUUCCUUUUCAUUUUGACAUUAUUUGAGCCGAAUUAGAAAUAGAAUCGGCUCCAAUUCCAAUACAUGGCCGUUUUGCACUACCACUUCGCACUGAGCUCUUCAAAACCCUUUGAAAACACACCCUUGGCUUUUCCAAAACUUCACAAUUGAUUCGGAGAUACUACAAUGUAUCCUUCCGCCUUACUUUAAUUCUUUUAAUCAAAGUUAGGGUCGGAAAUCCGAAAUUCUCUUUACUCUCUUUACAUUUCGUUUCGCGCCCAAUUUGCGCCGACACACUUAUUUCUCUUUGGAACUCAUUCCAACGCAUCACAAAUCCCUCGGGGAUGAUGUCCAACUAGCUCAAUCCUCACUUUGACCCUCUAGGUCAAAGUUGACAUCGCGACUCCAAGUUUCCAUAUGUUACAUUCUCCUCCCGUUAACAAAAGUUUCGUCCGCGAAACUUAGAUCAUUACCCCUUAUUGCUUAACGGAUGGAGAUAACUUUCCAAAUGCUAUUCCAAAGUUUCUCAAUUUCAUUCCAUACUAUACUGAUUUCUCCAAAUCAGUCUCUACGAACACUUUGUUCGCAUUUCCCAAUCUCAACUCGUCAUCGAUGCUUAUUUUAGCAAUUCUGAGUAAUUCAUCCAUAGGACCAAGCUUUUGCUUUCACGGUCUCUACUCAUAAUCUACUUGCAUAGAUCUACUACACUCGCUUUCAGUAUGAAUGAGUAAACCAGUACCACAAUUCGGUUCAUAAGUUACCGAUCCGAUACAGGCCGAUUGCCUAACCCAACCAUGAUACGACAUAAUGCCUCUCGCUCGCAAGCGUAGACCCAAUUAUCACGUAGCAAAGUUCUCAUUUGCGACAUCGCAUACCUGCUCCAACUGGGAGCAACCGAGACCCUAAACCACGUCAAGUCCUCGGGUUGGUUCGCUACACACUCUGAGUGUUCUCGAUCUCACGAUCUAACACGUGGCAUCCCACGUACUCGGGUUUAUGCUCGGACUACCGUCCUGACCAAAACUCUCUGCCCUACCCGUAGGUACCGGGCCGCUGCCUCUCGCAGCUGACUGCGCCUGCCCUAUGGGCCCAGGCUCCACAGUCUAAAAAGGGUCCAGGCACGGAUCGUCCCCAAGCACUACCCGCCAACGUCGUUUCACACGAAAUGCUCUACAGAGCUACAAGUAUCACUAUCGGCUCCUAAGCACCUAGUGCGAGCCACCAGCCCCGCGAGUGAUCCUUGGUACGCUUCACACUUAGCAACGCUCAAGUGCUACUGCCAACACACUCUCCUGGCUGAAUCAGAAUCCACAUUCUACGGACAGCUAUACUCAAGCGUCCUACACUAUCGCGUCUCUUGCCAGACAUCUCACGCUAGGCAAUUCAACCUAUGUCUCAAUUACGCAACCACAAUUCCUCAACUUAUUUGAGGUACAACUUAACUAACUCGCCAAAACCAGGCGAUCAUCUAACCAUGCCACAACAGUGACGCCCUUACCACUACACAAUCCAUCGGAAAUACCAUCUGGAUUUUCGAACUCUAGAAACGUCUUCUAACGUUUCUACUUUAAUUCUCAUUACCACCCGAAUGGUUUAGAGAAUAGGUCCACCAUGUCCAUCUUCAUCUCGAGCCCCAACAUUGGCUCACUGUGACUGCUCGCUAGCACGAUCCAACUGUCUAUUCCACAAUAGACAAUAUAUUCUCUUCCUCCCUGCAUGCUAGGGUCAAAUCCAAGUUUCUAUUUCAUUCCUCUCGAAGUAAGAGGUCAACCAACAGACCUUUCCGAAUUCUAGGAUAACGACUACAACUCCCUUCCAAGUGUCACUUAACAUUCGAUUAACCACUUAAGCUCAAUAUCAGUCGCUUAUCGUUCAUUCUUCACUAAUCAAUUCGCGCAUCUUCCGCCCAAAUAUCACUUAACUUCGACCAUAAGAUUCAAUUUGAAGUCCAUAGCUUAGGACUGCGUAUAACUUUGACACAUUUUCUGUCGAAGUUUCCUUAUUUCAUAAUCGGCCUUGUUUCCAAUAUCUCUUACACUGGUGUACUAAUCAUAGCUUAGCAUAUAGAAAAUCUUUCUACCUACUUUUCCAUCAAAUAUAGGCGGAUUAAACCACAUAAACGCCGUCAGUCCUACUAACGAUUGCUUGUGCUCAGCCCUUGUUGCAGUCGAAUCAGAAUCAGACGGCCCAGAAACCACUGGAGGGAUAAUCACUGAAAAAGGGGGGGCACAAUCGCUGGCGGAUCAGGUAUAGGUGCAUCCUGACUCCCAGAUACUGGUGUUGUCGCCCGUUGCGACACUAGAUCCUAUAACCUCAUUAUGUUCUCUUCCUGCCUCUGCAUAGCUCCAGCUCCAAUGCGCUCACCGGAGCACGUAGCUCCAGAACUUCGCUAGAUCCAGUCUGCUCUGGCAUCCUAGAAGGUGAUGCCGGAGUGGAUCUCGUCGCACGUCGCGACAUUUCUCUUGAAAUGAACCCUUUACACUAGUAAAACAAUACCAAUCAGGCGAAAGCAAUCAAGUAUAUUUAUACUCAACUCUUAGCUUUAUGUUGUGGGCCCCCAACAUAACUCCUUAGUUGUAUAUAAAUAACACUUGGAUCAGCCCCUAAUUAACAUUAGAGACUUACUAACAACUAACCAAAUUUAUUUAGCUUUCGCUAUCAUUAGAUUCGCGCCACUCGCGUUCCUGGUUCCUAGGUUUCCAUUCCUAAGUCCCCUAGGUCAUCCUAGACUUUCACUAUCACUUGCUCUGAUACCACUCUAUCUGUCACGUCCCGAGCCUCGCCUAUUUGGUCGAUCCGGGCCCGUACACAGACGCCGAACGAACAGUACCUCCUCUGUUCGCCCAAGGCUCAACAACAACGGAUACAUGUAUAAAGAAAUUAAACAAUUCCCAGGAUCACAUUUCAAUAUACAUGGCUUGCACGAUGGCAAGCAACAACACAAGUGAUAGUACGUCUAACUAAACAUAUAAUCCACUGUAAUUUAAAACUUUACAUAACUGAAACAUUUAGUUAUUACAUGCUUUAUAUACAAUCAUUUACAUGUCUCUGUACAUCGAAAUAGAUAAUACAUGAACCCAAAAUGGUAUACCACUAGUACUCGGGUGUCCACUAGCUAGGCUGCUGGCUCUUGCCUCGAUCCUCGGCCACAAUACUCGUACUGGAACCUGUAUGGUUAGUGGUGUGUGAGAACUACAAGAAAGUUCCCAGUGGGUUCGGCUGCCGACUUCGCCGACUCACCCACUAGGUCUAUUCAGGCAUAUGUAGGCAAGAAAAGUAAGCAAAUAGUAACCAACUAUAACAUGUAACUACUACAAUGCCUGUACAAAGCUGAAAGAAGUAACAGAUAUGAAAACUGUAAAUAUGCAUGCAUGCUUUUCAUUAACUUUACCUAAUCUUUUGAUUAACCCUCUGGUUAACAGCUGGACAAGUACGUUAGUCCAUAAAUUUACCCAAUUCAGUGGUUAACCCUUUGGUUAACAAUAACUCACCAACGAAAUCCCUCACGGGCCCUAAGCUGCCUCCCGAUGGGACCGUCUGUCGGACAAGUACGUUAGUCCUGGGGCUAGUACGUUAGCCCAACAAGUGACUACUCCGGAGCUCACUGCCUGGGGGGAGCGACCACCACCAAGCUAAGAAAACAGACUAUGUGAGUAAGAUCUGAUCCCCUUUUAGAGGAUUCAACUGACAACAAUGUCACAAUUUAACUCUAACUAGUUCUUUAUACUAGUUUCAUAAUUGCAUUUCUCGAUGCUAACCAAAUCUCUAAUCAUGAUGUCACCAAGUUUACUAUUGUCUUAGUCCUUUACAGUUUCAUAAUUUCACUGUUUAUCUCACAAUGCUAUCCAAUUCUCUAGUUAGAAUGUCACCAAGUUUACUAUUGUCAAAGUCCAUGCAUUCAUAGGGUUCUAUGUCCACAAUCUAAGGUUCACAAAUUCUCAUUGUUGAUAGGAAUUCACAUUUUCACUCGCUCAAUGCCAAACACCCUAUAAUGCGUGACUACAAAUAUAAAUAUGCUCAACGAAGAAUUAUAGACAUAAAAGGUGAUUCAAAGAGUUCGGAUAGCACCACCCACCUGUAGUGGUGUCAAUCAACUAAAAUCCACGUCUCGGAAAGCGUCGAGACUAUCUCUCGCGACUCCAUGCAAUUAGGACUAGAACGGCCGCUACCGUAAUUAGCGCGUCGUCGACCUGUCGGAAAGUCAAAUUAGACUCUUGGGCACGUUUACUUUUCACUUAUAAAGGAUUAGAAAAGAUUAAACUAGAGUCAAUACUCAUAUUUUACAAAUUAGCAUUUCAAUGCUAUAUAAAACGGCAACUAUAGCCGAAAAACUUCUUUUGGCGAUAUCUUUGCGUAGGUUCGUCGGAUUGCCGAACCGACUUCGCCAACGCGUUUCUUUUACCCUCAAUUUGGUUUACACGCGGUCAAUUUCGCAUUAGGACUCUUAUUUUGCAAAAGUGCAUUGCCGGGGUCAGUUUUCAUUUAAACCCCGUUUUUAUAGAAACC
rnacentral:lncRNA from 1 species